GAUGAACGCUAGCUACAGGCUUAACACAUGCAAGUCGAGGGGUAACGAGAGGAAAGCUUGCUUUCCUUGUCGACGACCGGCGCACGGGUGAGUAACGCGUAUCCAACCUGCCCCCAACUAGGGAAUAACCUUGCGAAAGUAAGACUAAUACCCUAUAAUUUCCUCAGAUGUCAUCUGACGAGGAAUAAAGAUUUAUCGGUUGUGGAUGGGGAUGCGUCUGAUUAGCUUGGUGGCGGGGUAACGGCCCACCAAGGCAACGAGCAGUAGGGGUUCUGAGAGGAGGGCCCCCCACAUUGGAACUGAGACACGGUCCAAACUCCUACGGGGGGCAGCAGUGAGGAAUAUUGGUAAAUGGGCGGAAGCCCGAACCAGCCAAGUAGCGUGCAGGAUGACGGCCCUAUGGGUUGUAACCUGCUUUUAUACAGGAAUAAAGUUAGCCACGUGUGGUUAUUUGUAGGUACUGUAUGAAUAAGGACCGGCUAAUUCCGUGCCAGCCGCCGCCGUAA
rnacentral:rRNA from 1 species